rnacentral:lncRNA from 1 species
AGCCCCAAUAUACCUCCCACUCCCCUGCUAUGGCCUUGCUCCGCAAGCUGUGGAGGGGCCAGCGGAGCCAGCCAGGCAGCGAGAGAGAACGAAAGACGCCCAGCUCGUUGCAGCCGCCAACCCGCCUCAGCCGCCAGUCCCUAGUCCUCAGGAGCUAGUGAGGCGCUGCAAGGCGAGGCUGGGGCCUCUAGAACACAGUUUAAGGGGUGCGCGCGGAAGUGGGAACCAGCCGGUGGCCGCUGCCCGGCGCCAGAACGUCUACCAUUCAGCCCGGGCGUGCGCGGGGCGGGGAAGAGGCUGGAGUAGAGAAGCGAGCGCCCGCGAGUGCGUGGCCGGUCCGCGAGCGCGUGUGGUGUCUGCCUUGUGAGCACUGCGGGUUCGCUGGACCCCGCGGCCAGGGCCGCGCCCCGCACCGCAGCUGUCGGAUUACCCACCGUUCGGUUUUCCGCUGUGGCUGAACACAGCGGCUCUGCCCUUGCCAGUCUCCAUCUCACCUCGGGGAUCGGCAAAUGCACACAUCAUGGAUUCUCCGGAUGCUCCAACCCGCGGACUCCAAUGGGCGCCCCAAGACGCCCCCAGACCCAGCGCGGCGCCCCAAGCACAUGGGACCCUCUCAAGGCAACUCGCCGCGCAGUCAGCGGCCGACUAGCAGACCCAGAGCAGCGAGGUCACGGUGUCCGCGGCCUCAGCAGGAAGGACCCCGCGAUGGUUCUUCACAAUUCACCCCCGCGAACAACGCACCCGAGCCUGCGCGCACGGAGGGCUGCCGCGCGUGGAACUGAGCGGGUCCUGGGUUGGUUUGCGGCCCUCUUCCCUCCGCCCACUCACAUCCCUGCCGGGUGCGUCCGCGCUCACCUGUCAGUGCGGCGGGUCCUCGGGGCCUGCGCUUUCGACGCGUGGCGCUGAGUGCGGCCGC